CUGGGAAGGAGGCCGGGGAGGCGGAGCGAGGGGGGCCUGCCGCUGUCCCUGGGAGGCGGGGCUUCAGGGAGAGGAGCCAAUCACAGGCUGCCUGCAAAGCUCUCAGUUCCUGGCUGAGUGCAGCGGUGCUGCUGAAUCCUCAUGGAGAAGUUGAGAGAAAUGAGAUGGCAACUGGCUAUGGACUUUGUGGACCUGGAGAAGGUGUACAAUCGUGUACCAAGAGAAUUGGGUGGAGUUUGUGAUGGAAAGGUGUGCCAGAAAGCUAUGUCCAGCUUAUCCAGGAUAGUGCUCAUCCUCCUGGUAUCUGGAAUCUGAGAUGAUGGCAGAGGAGACUUUGGAAGCUUAGAUCUUUAGCUGGUAUAAAUCAGCAUAGCUCCAUUGAGCACAAUGGAGUGAUUGCAGUGGAACUUGACCGAUUUACACCAGAUGAGGAUCUCACCCAUUAGCUCUUUGCUGAUCUCCAAACUUGCCCUCCCCUAUCCCUGGUCAACUCCUGUUUUCUUGAUUGCUCUCCCAGACUCAUGUGAA